rnacentral:tRNA from 1 species
GUGGUAGCUCAGCGGUAGAGCGAUCGCCUGUUAAGCGAUUGGUCGUAG